rnacentral:lncRNA from 1 species
AUGAAAACUCCAGGAGAAAAUGUUGCCAGCAAGUGGGAGGGUUUUCAGCUGAGAAGUGAGUAUGAAAGGCUUAACAUUCCUAAAUCUGAACGCUAUACAUCGUUUGAUCAUGUGCAUUUACGACAAUGUUAUUUGGCUGACACAUAUUUCGAGACCAAGAAAAAUUGUUCAAAUCUUGCUAUCACCUGUCUGCCUCCCCACUGGGGUUCAAUCCCUGCUAUCACCUGUCUGCCUCACCACUGGGGUUCAAUCCCUGCUAUCACCUGUCUGCCUCCCCACUGGGGUUCAAUCCCUGCUAUCACCUGUCUGCCUCCCCACUGGGGUUCAAUCCCUGCUAUCACCUGUCUGCCUCCCCACUGGGGUUCAAUCCCUGCUAUCACCUGUCUGCCUCCCCACUGGGGUUCGAAUCCCUGCUAUCACCUGUCUGCCUCCCCACUGGGGUUCAAUCCCUGCUAUCACCUGUCUGCCUCCCCACUGGGGUUCAAUCCCUGCUAUCACCUGUCUGCCUCCCCACUGGGGUUCAAAUCCCUGCUAUCACCUGUCUGCCUCCCCACUGGGGUUCAAUCCCUGCUAUCACCUGUCUGCCUCCCCACUGGGGUUCAAUCCCUGCUAUCACCUAUCUGCCUCCCCACUGGGGUUCAAAUCCCUGCUAUCACCUGUCUGCCUCCCCACUGGGGUUCAAUCCCUGCUAUCACCUGUCUGCCUCCCCACUGGGGUUCAAAUCCCUGCUAUCACCUGUCUGCCUCCCCACUGGGGUUCAAUCCCUGCUAUCACCUGUCUGCCUCCCCACUGGGGUUCAAAUCCCUGCUAUCACCUGUCUGCCUCCCCACUGGGGUUCAAAUCCCUGCUAUCACCUGUCUGCCUCCCCACUGGGGUUCAAUCCCUGCUAUCACCUGUCUGCCUCCCCACUGGGGUUCAAUCCCUGCUAUCACCUGUCUUUCUCCCCACUGGAGUUCAAUCCCUGCUAUCACCUGUCUGCCUCCCCACUGGAGUUCAAUCCCUGCUAUCACCUGUCUGCCUCCCCACUGGAGUUCAAUCCCUGCUAUCACCUGUCUGCCUCCCCACGAGUUCAAUCCCUGCUAUCACCUGUCUGCCUCCCCACUGGAGUUCAAUCCCUGCUAUCACCUGUCUUUCUCCCCACUGGAGUUCAAUCCCUGCUAUCACCUGUCUGCCUCCCCACUGGAGUUCAAUCCCUUCUAUCACCUGUCUUCCUCCCCACUGGAGUUCAAUCCCUGCUAUCACCUGUCUGCCUCCCCACUGGAGUUCAAUCCCUGCUAUCACCUGUCAAAUCCACCUCCUGUCUGCCUCCCCACUGGAGUUCAAUCCCUUCUAUCCCGUCUUCCUCCCCACUGGAGUUCAAUCCCUGCUAUCACCUGUCUGCCUCCCCACUGGAGUUCAAUCCCUGCUAUCACCUGUCUGCCUCCCCACUGGAGUUCAAUCCCUGCUAUCACCUGUCUGCCUCCCCACGAGUUCAAUCCCUGCUAUCACCUGUCUGCCUCCCCACUGGAGUUCAAUCCCUUCUAUCACCUGUCUUCCUCCCCACUGGAGUUCAAUCCCUGCUAUCACCUGUCUGCCUCCCCACUGGAGUUCAAUCCCUACUAUCACCUGUCAAAUCCACCUCCUGUCUGCCUCCCCACUGGAGUUCAAUCCCUGCUAUCACCUGUCUGCCUCCCCACUGGAGUUCAAUCCCUGCUAUCACCUGUCUGCCUCCCCACUGGAGUUCAAUCCCUGCUAUCACCUGUCUGCCUCCCCACUGGAGUUCAAUCCCUGCUAUCACCUGUCUGCCUCCCCACUGGAGUUCAAUCCCUGCUAUCACCUGUCUGCCUCCCCACGAGUUCAAUCCCUGCUAUCACCUGUCUGCCUCCCCACUGGAGUUCAAUCCCUUCUAUCACCUGUCUGCCUCCCCACUGGGGUUCAAUCCAUGCUAUCACCUGUCUGCCUCCCCACUGGGGUUCAAUCCAUGCUAUCACCUGUCUGCCUCCCCACUGGGGCUCAAAUCCCUGCUAUCACCUGUCUGCCUCCCCACUGGGGUUCAAUCCCUGCUAUCACCUGUCUGCCUCCCCACUGGAGUUCAAUCCCCGCUAUCACCUGUCUGCCUCCCCACUGGGGUUCAAUCCCUGCUAUCACCUGUCUGCCUCCCCACUGGAGUUCAAUCCCUGCUAUCACCUGUCUGCCUCCCCACUGGAGUUCAAUCCCCGCUAUCACCUGUCUGCCUCCCCACGAGUUCAAUCCCUUCUAUCACCUGUCUGCCUCCCCACUGGAGUUCAAUCCCUGCUAUCACCUGUCUGCCUCCCCACUGGAGUUCAAUCCCUGCUAUCACCUGUCUGCCUCCCCACGAGUUCAAUCCCUGCUAUCACCUGUCUGCCUCCCCACUGGAGUUCAAUCCCUUCUAUCACCUGUCUUCCUCCCCACUGGAGUUCAAUCCCUGCUAUCACCUGUCUGCCUCCCCACUGGAGUUCAAUCCCUGCUAUCACCUGUCAAAUCCACCUCCUGUCUGCCUCCCCACUGGAGUUCAAUCCCUUCUAUCCCGUCUUCCUCCCCACGAGUUCAAUCCCUGCUAUCACCUGUCUGCCUCCCCACUGGGGUUCAAUCCAUGCUAUCACCUGUCUGCCUCCCCACUGGGGUUCAAUCCAUGCUAUCACCUGUCUGCCUCCCCACUGGGGCUCAAAUCCUUGCUAUCACCUGUCUGCCUCCCCACUGGAGUUCAAUCCCCGCUAUCACCUGUCUGCCUCCCCACUGGGGUUCAAUCCCUGCUAUCACCUGUCUGCCUCCCCACUGGGGUUCAAUCCCUGCUAUCACCUGUCUGCCUCCCCACUGGAGUUCAAUCCCUGCUAUCACCUGUCUGCCUCCCCACUGGAGUUCAAUCCCCGCUAUCACCUGUCUGCCUCCCCACGAGUUCAAUCCCUUCUAUCACCUGUCUGCCUCCCCACUGGAGUUCAAUCCCUUCUAUCACCUGUCUUCCUCCCCACUGGAGUUCAAUCCCUGCUAUCACCUGUCUGCCUCCCCACUGGAGUUCAAUCCCUGCUAUCACCUGUCAAAUCCACCUCCUGUCUGCCUCCCCACUGGAGUUCAAUCCCUUCUAUCCCCCGUCUUCCUCCCCACGAGUUCAAUCCCUGUUAUCACCUGUCUGCCUCCCUACUGGAGUUCAAUCCCUGCUAUCACCUGUCUUCCUCCCCACUGGAGUUCAAUCUCUUCUAUCACCUGUCUUCCUCCCCACGAGUUCAAUCCCUGCUAUCACCUGUCUUCCUCCCCACCGGAGUUCAAUCCCUGCUAUCACCUAUCUGCCUCCCCACUGGAGUUCAAUCCCUGCUAUCACCUGUCUUUCUCCCCACUGGAGUUCAAUCCCUGCUAUCACCUGUCAAAUCCAGCUCCUGUCUUCCUCCCCACGAGUUCAAUCCCUGCUAUCACCUGUCUGCCUCCCCACUGGAGUUCAAUCCCUGCUAUCACCUGUCUGCCUCCCCACUGGAGUUCAAUCCCUGCUAUCACCUGUCUGCCUCCCCACUGGAGUUCAAUCCCUGCUAUCACCUGUCUGCCUCCCCACUGGAGUUCAAUCCCUGCUAUCACCUGUCUUUCUCCCCACUGGAGUUCAAUCCCUGCUAUCACCUGUCUGCCUCCCAACUGGAGUUCAAUCCCUGCUAUCACCUGUCUGCCUCCCCACUGGAGUUCAAUCCCUGCUAUCACCUGUCUGCCUCCCCACGAGUUCAAUCCCUGCUAUCACCUGUCUGCCUCCCCACUGGGGUUCAAUCCCUUCUAUCACCUGUCUUCCUCCCCACUGGAGUUCAAUCCCUGCUAUCACCUGUCUGCCUCCCCACUGGAGUUCAAUCCCUGCUAUCACCGGUCUGCCUCCCCACUGGAGUUCAAUCCCUGCUAUCACCUGUCUGCCUCCCCACGAGUUCAAUCCCUGCUAUCACCUGUCUGCCUCCCCACUGGAGUUCAAUCCCUUCUAUCACCUGUCUUCCUCCCCACUGGAGUUCAAUCCCUGCUAUCACCUGUCUGCCUCCCCACUGGAGUUCAAUCCCUGCUAUCACCGGUCUGCCUCCCCACUGGAGUUCAAUCCCUGCUAUCACCUGUCUGCCUCCCCACGAGUUCAAUCCCUGCUAUCACCUGUCUGCCUCCCCACUGGAGUUCAAUCCCUGCUAUCACCUGUCUGCCUCCCCACUGGAGUUCAAUCCCUUCUAUCACCUGUCUUUCUCCCCACUGGAGUUCAAUCCCUGCUAUCACCUGUCUGCCUCCCCACUGGAGUUCAAUCCCUGUGUCCACCACCCCACUCCCCAGCCAAGGUCACGGCAGUCCAACGUGACUCGCCAGCCAAGGUCACGGCAGUCCAACGUGACUCGCCAGCCAAGGUCACGGCAGUCCAACUUGACUCUCCAGCCAGGCUCAUGGCAGUUCAGCAGUAUAAAAAGACUCGGAUCUAUCCUGGAGCCAAUUACUAACCAUCGAAAUCUAUAA